ACCCCACUGCUAUCGGGAUAGGACUAAGACAUGCUAGUCGAGUGACUCAGGCAAAACGAGUCACGGCACACAGCUCAGUAACACGUGGCUAAUCUGCCCUUAGGACGAGAACAACCCCGGGAGACUGGGGCUAACUCUUGAUAGGUGAAGAACUCUGGAAUGAGUCCUUGCCUAAAAAGAUUCACGUCAUCCUCGUGAACCUGCCUAAGGAUGAGGCCGCGACCGAUCAGGUUGUUGGUGAGGUAAUGGCUCACCAAGCCUUUUACCGGUGCGGGCCGUGGGAGCGGGAGCCCGGAGAUGGGUACUGAGACAAGGACCCAGGCCCUACGGGGCGCAGCAGUCGCGAAACCUUUGCAAUACACGAAAGUGUGACAGGGCUAUCCCGAGUGCCAUCCGCUGAGGAAGGCUUUUACCCAGUCUAGAACGCUGGGGGAAUAAGGAGAGGGCAAGUCUGGUGUCAGCCGCCGCGGUAAUACCAGCUCUCCGAGUGGUGUGGAUGUUUAUUGGGCCUAAAGCAUCCGUAGCUGGCUAGGUAAGUCCCUUGUUAAAUCCACCGAAUUAAUCGUUGGAUCGCGGGGGAUACUGCUUGGCUAGGGGACGAGAGAGGCAGACGGUAUUUUCCGGGUAGGGGUGAAAUCCUAUAAUCCCGGGAAGACCACCAGUGGCGAAGGCUGUCUGCUAGAACGCGCCCGACGGUGAGGGAUGAAAGCUGGGGGAGCGAACCGGAUUAGAUACCCCGGGUAGUCCCAGCUGUAAACGAUGCAGACUACGUGUUUUGGACGGGCACGUGCCGUUCUAGUGCCGCAGGGAAACUGUUAAUUCUGCCGCCUGCGGAGUACGAUCGCAUGAUUGAAACU
rnacentral:rRNA from 1 species